GACGAACGCUGGCGGCGUGCUUAACACAUGCAAGUCGAACGCUGAAGCUCAGCUUGCUGGGUGGAUGAGUGGCGAACGGGUGAGUAACACGUGAGUAACCUGCCCUCUUCUUUGGGAUAACGCCCGGAAACGGGUGCUAAUACUGGAUAUUCACUGAUUCUCGCAUGGGGGUUGGUGGAAAGGUUUUUUCUGGUGGGGGAUGGGCUCGCGGCCUAUCAGCUUGUUGGUGGGGUGAUGGCCUACCAAGGCUUUGACGGGUAGCCGGCCUGUGAGGGUGACCGGUCACAUUGGGACUGAGAUACGGCCCAGACUCCUACGGGAGGCAGCAGUGGGGAAUAUUGCACAAUGGGCGAAAGCCUGAUGCAGCGACGCCGCGUGAGAGAUGGAGGCCUUCGGGUUGUAAACCUCUUUCGCUCAUGGUCAAGCCGCAGCUUUGGGUUGUGGUGAGGGUAGUGGGUAAAGAAGCGCCGGCUAACUACGUG
rnacentral:rRNA from 1 species